rnacentral:rRNA from 1 species
UACAGAGGGUGCAAGCGUUAAUCGGAGUUACUGGGCGUAAAGGGCGCGUAGGUUGUUAAAUAAGUUUCAUGUGAAAGCCCCGGGCUUAACCUGGGAACUGCAUGGGAAACUGUUUGACUAGAGUAUGGUAGAGGUAAGUGGAAUUUCCGGUGUAGCGGUGAAAUGCGUAGAUAUCGGAAGGAACACCAGUGGCGAAGGCGACUUACUGGGCCAAUACUGACACUGAGGCGCGAAAGCGUGGGUAGCGAAC